rnacentral:rRNA from 1 species
UACGUAGGGGGCGAGCGUUGUUCGGAAUUAUUGGGCGUAAAGCGCGUGUAGGCGGUUCGGUAAGGCGGAUGUGAAAUCCCGGGGCUCAACCCCCGGAACUGCCUUUGAUACUGGGUAUCUCGAGUCCGGAAGAGGUGAGUGGAAUUCCGAGUGUAGAGGUGAAAUUCGUAGAUAUUCGGAGGAACACCAGUGGCGAAGGCGGCUCACUGGUCCGGUACUGACGCUGAGGUGCGAAAGCGUGGGGAGCAAACAGG